GAUAGAAAAUCUUCAUAUUUCUUAAAAGAGAAAUUCAUGAUUAACAUCAUCAGAGGUCAUAUCAUGAUGCUCAAUAGGGGAUCCACGAUGAUCAGACUAUGAAUUUUUGAUAAAAACUGGAUUAGGAUCCAACCUACUGCAUAGAUAUUAAAGUAAUUUUGGAUCUUUUUGUUUUUAUCUCAAGUCUGUAUUGAAGAUCAUAGAUCAGAUAG
rnacentral:lncRNA from 1 species